AUUGAACGCUGGCGGCAUGCCUUACACAUGCAAGUCGAACGGCAGCACGGGGCAACCUGGUGGCGAGUGGCGAACGGGCGAGUAAUGCAUCGGAACGUACCUUUCAGUGGGGGAUAACGUAGCGAAAGUUACGCUAAUACCGCAUAUUCUGUGAGCAGGAAAGCAGGGGAUCGCAAGACCUUGCGCUGAUUGAGCGGCCGGUGGCAGAUUAGCUAGUUGGUGGGGUAAAGGCUCACCAAGGCGACGAUCUGUAGCGGGUCUGAGAGGUUGAUCCGCCACACUGGCACUGGGACACGUGCCAGACUCGGAGGGGAGGCAGCAGUGGGGAAUUUUGGGCAAUGGGGGCAACCCUGAUCCAGCCAUGCCGCGUGAGUGAAGAAGGCCUUCGGGUUGGAAAGCUCUUUCGGCCGGGAAGAAAUCGCACGGGCUAAUACCCUGUGUGGAUGACGGUACCGGAAUAAGAAGCACCGGCUAACUACGUGCCAGCCGCCGCCGUAACAC
rnacentral:rRNA from 1 species